AACGAACGCUGGCGGCGCGUCUUAACCAUGCAAGUCGAGCGGCAGGCCGCAAUGCCGAGAGCGGCGGACUGGUGAGUAACACGUGGAUAACGUACCCCGAUGUCCGGGACAGCCUGUAGAAAUAGAGGGUAAUACCGGAUAGAUCACUGUUUACGUGAGGUAGACAGCGGGAAAGGAGCUUCGGCUCCGCGCGGGGAUCGGUCUGCGGCCCAUCAGCUGGACGGCGGGGUAAAGGCCCGCCGUGGCGAGGACGGGUAUCCGGCCUGAGAGGGCGGACGGACACAUUGGGACUGAGAUACGGCCCAGACUCCUACGGGAGGCAGCAGGGAAGAAUAUUCCGCAAUGGGGGGAACCCUGACGGAGCGACGCCGCGUGAACGAAGAAGGCCGGAAGGUUGUAAAGUUCUUUUCUGUCCGAGGAAUAAGUUUCGGAGGAAAUGCCGGGACGGUGACGGUAGGGCAGGAAUAAGCACCGGCUAAUUACGUG
rnacentral:rRNA from 1 species